AAUUGAAGCAGAUGGUGAGAAGUGAAAGAAUCUGACUAAAAUCACGAUGAACUUCUGUGACCUUUAUCUGCUAACUCUGCAUUUGAGUGCUUAACAGUUGCAUGCAUACAGGACUUGUCACGAAGAAUGCACUUCAUCAUUGAAAUGUUAUGCUGAGACAUUAUUUCAGCAGUGGUAAUGCCUGAUGCAGCUUGUAUCCUGGUGCAUUAGCUACUGUUCAUCUAGAACUUCUGUGUGGUUUCCUGCUCCCAAUUAAAUCCUGUACACAAGCAGAGUAGUUUAGCUGCAUCACUGCUUUUUUGAUUGGUUCUUUCCUAGGUGGCCAGUUAAUCCCUCAGUUUGGAAUCUCGAUAAAGCUGGGCCUUCCCCUGUUGCCACAGCAAGUUCUGUGAUGAGUGGUUGUCCCUUGUUGUCACAGCAGCGGCAGUGCCUGUAUUCACAUCUCUGACUCCCAAAGGCAACGAGGAAGGCCAGGUAUGGUUCCAGCGGCUGAGGGAGGCCUAUCUCAGAAGUGCUGCGUGCCUUGCUCCUGGAGACCAAGGCAUGGAGGAAGGAGAAGCGAGGUUUGUUGACUGGCCAACAUAUCCCUACAAUGGCAGAAUCUUCAGAGGAGAUGGGCAAGAUGGCUCUUGAAGCCCAAGGAA